UGGAAACAUGCAUAAACACUCAGCUUGUGAUUGCUUCCAUGUGAAAUCAGAUAUGGAGGAGCUUCAGGAGGAAAAUAUAUAAAUGGAGCUGUCAGUGCGUGGCUGGAAAUGAGUUGUGUCAGCUUCUGAAGAUGACUGGCUCUUCCUGAAGAGGUUGUUGAUCAAAGGGCAACUGGUACCACUUUCCUUUGCUCCUCAUGCCGCUGCAAAAUCUCCCAGUAUUUGUACUGCCUCCUCCUUCCAUGAAAGCUGUUCUCAUACAAGAAAAUUAUUGAUGCCAAGAGAUGUGCGUCAUCUUCCUGCGCGUGGCUCCGCUGCCAGUCCUAAGCCAAUACCCCACGCCUUACAGCCGUUACCACUUCUUCUUGAUGUCCAUGCUAUGCUUUCCAGGUUCCAAGGCAAUAUGGAAGAUGCUCCAAAUAUCA
rnacentral:lncRNA from 1 species